GGGUCAAGGAAAGAAGGAAGCAUGGUCGCAGGAAGAACAGGAAGGCAUCCCAACGUACAGAAGUUUGGAAACUCCUCCGGCACGUGAGUCCACUAACAACUGUUUCUCCCCUGGAAGUCGCCUAAUGAAAUCA